rnacentral:lncRNA from 1 species
CAAAAUCAACUUAAAGGAACCAGAACAAUACUUCACCACAUUGGCCAGAAAAACUGAACGGGCCUUCUGCAAUUAGGCUUCUAAGGCCACCAGCUCAACUCCGUCUCCUUGUCUCAUCAUUCAUUAUUCACUGUAAAACUGAUGUGAAAGGAAAAGGAAAGUAGUUGAAUGCUAUGCCAAGAAAAUAUCUUGAGUUCUCCUGUAAUUGUAACAUGAUAUGAAUUUUAACACCCCAAAAAGCUCAUAAGAGAAACCCUAAUUGGAGGAAGCCAUCGGAAAUGAUC